CACGUAAGAAUCUACCUUUAGGACGGGAGUAACUUCUUGGAACGGAAGUGCUAAUACCCGACUAUGCUGUGGAGUGAAAGGAAUUUCGUCCUAAAGAAUGAUCUUGCGUCUGAUUAGCUAGAUAGUGUGGUAAUGGCGCACUAUGGCGACGAUCAGUAGCUGGUCUGAGAGGAUGGACAGCCACAUUGGAACUGAGACACGGUCCAAACUCCUACGGGAGGCAGCAGUGGGGAAUUUUCCGCAAUGGGCGAAAGCCUGACGGAGCGACGCUGCGUGAAGGAUGACGGCCUGCGGGUUGUA
rnacentral:rRNA from 1 species